rnacentral:rRNA from 1 species
GAUGAACGCUGGCGGCAUGCCUAACACAUGCAAGUCGAUCGGUAAGGCUCUUCGGAGUACACGAGAGGCGGACGGCUGCGUAACGCGUAGGAACACACCCUGCAGUGAGGGAUAAGACACCGAAAGGUGUUCUAAUACCGCAUACGGUCUUCGGAUUAAAGCAUUUAUGCGCUGAAGGAGUGGCCUGCGUCAUAUUAGAUAGUUGGUGAGGUAAUGGCUCACCAAGUCGAUGAUGUGUAGCUGGUCUGAGAGGAUGAUCAGCCAGACUGGAACUGAGACACGGUCCAGACUCCUACGGGAAGCAGCAGUGAGGAAUAUUUCACAAUGAGCGAAAGCUUGAUGGAGCAAUGCCGCGUGCAGGAUGAAGGCCCUCGGGUUGUAAACUGCUUUUAUAAGAGAAGAUUAUGACGGUAACUUAUGAAUAAGGGACGGCUAACUACGUG